AAAAAAAAAUUGCAAUUCGAAGAGGGUAAUCAAAGGGAAGUACAAAGAAAGGAAAAUUACGGGUCUGGAGAUCUACCCUUUUUGGGUUUCCCUGAGGACUUGGGUGGGGCCAAGGCUUUUACGGCGAGAGGCCUCGGAGUGCGAAGAAGAGAGGGUCCGCCGCGGAGAAGUGGACGGAAGGAAGAGGAGAAGGAAGGGAGGAAAGUGGAGGAGAGGUGGGGUUUGCAGACGGACGGCGAGGGGACGCAGGGGAGUGAGAGAGAGCUCGACAUGGCGGUCGCCAUGUGUGGGAGGGAGGAAGGGACGGUGAGAGGACUGGAUAAACCUGGGAGAUGGAUUCGUCUGCUAUCUAAGCUUGGAUGCGGGAUUUGGGUUUGGAUUUGGGUCAAAAUCCUCAACAUUGCCCCGACCCGUUUGAUUAUUGGAUUGAAAGAAAGGAGAUAUUGUAUCUCCCUCCCUACCCCGCUUCGUGUUUGUUCAUUCGUUUGAUGAUGCAAUAGUUUAUUCUGAGGACCGGUCCUCCCAAACAACCUCCCCGGAAUGAUUGGCUAUAUAAAAUGCCACUAAAUCCGUAGCACCAUUCACCCCUUGGUUUCGCUUGAAAUCCUAAGUUCCUGGUAAUCUUUGAAAUAUCCAACAAUGGUUGGCGGGCAUCUAUGGCAGCUCGAUGCUUCAAUGAUCACGUUAUUCUUGAAUCAUCUUCUAAGAUAACACU
rnacentral:lncRNA from 1 species